AGAUAGUGACUCGGAUCCAUUUGACUUAAAUGAGUCAUCUUUGGUGGAAGAAUCAUAUAGCGAUAGUCUCUCCUCUCUAGUUCCUCUUUCUGAACUGAACACACUGUCUUGAUGAAAUUCUAGAGUCAAAAGAGAAGAAAAACCCAAGGACUGUUAAGUGGUCAAAGGAAGAUACAGCAGAUUUGAAAUAUCAUUUUAGAAAGUACAUAUUUACUCAGAAAAACAAUAACACAGGGAAUCUACCAUGUAAGAAAGAAAUUGAAGACUUCCUGAAGACAAAUAAUAUAUCAUCAUUAGAUGGUCUUCAUAUGAAGACAACAAUUUCCAAAGCCAGAACAAAGAUUUUUAAUGAGAGAAAAACGGCGAGGCUAAGAAGUUCCAAAAAACUUGCAGAGUUGGAGUUGGUGGCUAUAUGAACAAUUUAGAAAUGAACAUGACUUGUGAAUAUGCAUAUGAAUAGUAUGUAGUUUUCUAGUCAGAUAUUAGCAAUUAGUACAUCUCAUGGGGGAGUGGUCACGAUUUUGGUCAGAUUUUUAUUUUUGUAUUUUUUAUUGUUUAUAAUGCAUUAGUAUAAUGCAUUUCUAAUGACCAACCACAAUUUGAGUGUUAGUUGUAGUGUUAUUAGCCAGAUGCAGAGCUUCAAUUCUUUGUUUUGUAAGAAGGCUUGUGUCUUAUUUUUUUGAUUUACAUUGGUUCAAUACACCGGUAAAAGUUCUUUUUCAAGCUGAUUUUUUUAUCUGCUAAUUUGUUUUGUACAUCAAUAAACAGCUCCUUGUAUUUGUCAUAUUCAUUUCAUGUCUUAACCUGGAAUUUCAAAAUGUAAACAAACACAUGGCACAAGUUUUGUUUACAUACCAAAGAAUUGUUAGCCCUGUGUCUCGCUUAAAACUCGAGAACUGAAACUCAAAGUUUGGUUGACUAUUAGAAAUGCAUUACUUGAGCAUGAUGAACAUUCAAAAUGGAAAAAUAAAUUUUGACCAAAAUCAUGACCAUGCCCCUUUUAAAACAAACAUGGAACUUGGCCUAUAUGUACAUGCAGUAUUCUUUGAAUUGCCAUAUUGUCUGCAUUUUUAUUGUGCUGGGUUAUUGUAUUUUAAUACUCCACUCAAAAGGAGAGGGCGUAUACUGCGUUACCCUUGUGUACCAAUCAAAUGUCAACUUUUUGUUAAAUGACGACUGUUUAUUUUUAGCUUAAAUUUUCAAACAAAUUUUUGUCAAAAAUUUCUCGGCACCUAUUUAUAGCAGAGGCUUAAAAUUUUAACCUCUUUGUGUAGGCAUGCCAUAUGAUGGGAUCCAUUUUUUAAAAAAAUGAUGUCAACUCCCUGUGAAAUAUCGACUGCAUAUUUUGUAUAUUCAGAUCAGAGCAGGGGUAUCACUUUUGAGUAUUGGCUCACAGAUAUCUUGUUUGUUUGUAAUGAAUUGACCUUUAGAAUUUUGUUUCUUUUAAAAAAAAAUUGAUAUUUGUUGUUACCAAGAAUAAUUGCAGAUGUAACCUGUACAUCCCUAUAGAAAAGAUCUGUGUUGCAAAAUGUUACAUACUGCAAAUAACUUGAUGCCUUUAAUGUUAAAGGGGCAUGGUCACGAUUUGGCUCAAAAUUAAUUUUUCUCUUUUUAAUGUUUACAAUGACUUAAAUAGGCAUUUCUAAUAAUCAACCAAAAAUUUGAGUGUCAGUCGUGAAGUUAUAAGCGAGAUAUAGAGCUCACAAUUUUGAUUAUGUAACCAAAGCUGAUGUCAUGAUUUUGAUUACCGGUACAUUUUAAAUGUUGAGGAAAAAUGUCAGGUUUAGACCAAAAAAGAAUGUUACAAACGCUAGGAACUGUUAAAAACGAUUUAGUAAUUAGAAAACUCAGCCUGAAAAAGAACCUUUACCGGUAUAUUGAACUUAUGUAAACAAAAACAUGGCACGAGCCUUAUUUCCAUUAUAUUUUAUUGAAAAUGACAGUUUGAAACAUGAGUUUUCAUAGUGUUCAUAGCCCCACCACACCGAAUCAAACAAAGCUGUUUUUAUGAAGCAUCAAUAAAAAUAUUUAUAUCUUGAAUUUCAUAAUCCUGUAGGCACCUUGCAUGUACAAGAUCUUGAUCUUAAAGAAGCUUUGUUUAAUUUUCUUUUAAAGUAAGUUAUGAUAAUGUCGUGUGUUGGAAAAGGUGCAUAUAUAGAAUAAAUUUAAACAAAAACAUUGAAUUAUUGUGAAAUUGUCUACUGAAGAAUUGAAUGAAAUAACUGAUUAAAAGGACAUUGAUUAAAGUAAUGAUGUAAACUUAUGUAUUAGAUUACUAGUUUGAUGAAACAACUCAUCAAUUUUCUGAAUUUGAUCCUAUGAAAUAUUGAAAAAAAGUUAAAGUGUUAAACAUUAAUGAUGCACUGAAGGUGAAUUACAUUUUUGUUCUGAACUUGCUUUUGAGAAUUUAAGUCUUAAUUUGUUCAAUGAGUUAAUAUAUUAGAUUGUAAUGAUAUUUGCAUUACAUUUAUAUAUAGUAGAUUAUGCAAUAAUGAAUUUCUUUUAUGAUCAUUUGAUUCUUAACUUUAAAUGGAUGUUUAAUUUAAAACUUGAUUGUCUUCUGAACAUCAUAUUAUUUAGUUUUAACACAGUCUUGCUCAACUAAAAGUGCAAAGUGUUGAAAAAAAAGUUUGGUUAAGAAUCACUUUGUAACUGACAGACUGCAUUAUAUUUGCUGAAUUAAAAAUUCAGCUUUGAGCUAUGAUUGAAUGUAGACUGGUCAUUCAAGGGAGAAAUGAAAGACAUUGACUAAAAUGUUCCACAUUGUUUUAAUUCUCUUUGACUUUUGCUCAAGAAUUUUUGAAAACAGAACAAUUGAUGUUUUAAUUUUUAUGUUGUUUUUAAAGAAAUGAAUAAUAAGUUGGAACAAAUUGAAUUUUUCCUAUGAAAUUGUUUGAAUAUGUAAUAAAAGAAUUUUAGAAA